rnacentral:rRNA from 1 species
AUUGAACGCUGGCGGCAGGCUUAACACAUGCAAGUCGAGCGGAGUGAUGGUGCUUGCACUAUUACUUAGCGGCGGUCGGGUGAGUAAUGCUUAGGAAUCUGCCAUUUAGUGGGGGACAACAUUCCGAAAGGAAUGCUAAUACCGCAUACGUCCUACGGGAGAAAGCAGGGGAUCUUCGGACCUUGCGCUAAAUGAUGAGCCUAAGGCGGAUUAGCUAGUUGGUGGGGUAAAGGCCUACCAAGGCGACGAUCCGUAGCGGGUCUGAGAGGAUGAUCCGCCACACUGGGACUGAGGCACGGCCCAGACUCCUACGGGAGGCAGCAGUGGGGAAUAUUGGACAAUGGGCGGAAGCCUGAUCCAGCCAUGCCGCGUGUGUGAAGAAGGCCUUUUGGUUGUAAAGCACUUUAAGCGAGGAGGAGGCUCUCCUAGUUAAUACCUAGGAAGAGUGGACGUUACUCGCAGAAUAAGCACCGGCUAACUCUGUGCCAGCCGCCGCCGUAAGAC